GGUUGAUCCUGCCAGUAGUCAUAUGCUUGUCUCAAAGAUUAAGCCAUGCAUGUGCAAGUAUAAGCGUUUAUACGGUGAAACUGCGAAUGGCUCAUUAUAUCAGUUAUGAUUUACUCGAUGAAGAAGGAUACAUGGAUAACCGUGGUAAUUCUAGAGCUAAUACAUGCAUUACGAUGGGGGCGCAAGCACUCAGCAUUUAUUAGAUAUGGCCAACUCAACGAUUCGUUGAAAUGGUGAUUCAUGAUAACUUGGCGGAUCGCAUGGCUUUCGGGCAGGCGACGGAUCGAAGAGA
rnacentral:rRNA from 1 species